rnacentral:lncRNA from 1 species
GUGGGGUCUUACAGUAUGUGACAAUAACAAACAGUAAUUCAUAAUGAUGCACCUCUCCUCUUUUUUACCUUUGCACUGCUGGGUGUGCUGAGUCUCUUUGACCUGAAAACCAGCUGAAAAGAUUGAUACGUCUGCAGAGGGAGAUAGAUAGGAGAGAUAGAUAAACAUUCUGAGGGUAUUCAUGCUCACUUCACAUUCUGAACUUCAAGAAUAUAGUUAUUCUCCUCUUUAUCCUCUAUAGUGGUAUUUCUUUUUAAAGUCUCUCUCUUUCGUCCACAUGUUUUACCUUUGCAUUUUGCUGGCUGGUUCUCCUGAAAUACCUUUUUCUUUUCAACUCCCUCUUUCUUUUUCUUCUCUUGGUUUAUUUCAUCUCUCUCAACUGUAUUCCCAUCACUUUGGAGUUGUGCAGGUGUCACGCUCUGACCUAGGAGAGCUGUGUUUUCUCUGUUUAGCUAGGCCAGGGUGUGAUAGGUGGGUGGGCAUUCUAUGUUUUGUGUUCUAUGUUUUGGACGGGUAUGGUUUCCAAUCAGAGGCAGGUGUCUAUCGUUGUCUCUGAUUGGAAGCCAUACUUAGGCAGCCUGUUUUUCCUUUGUUUUUUGUGGGUAGUUGUUUUCCGUUUUGUCAGUGUGUACCUUAUGGAACUGUUGUCGGUCGUUUUAUUGUUUUGGUUCAAGUGUCUUCAUUAAAAGUUUAAAAAUGAGCACUAUACACCUUGGUCUACUCAUUUCGACGCCUGUGACAGUAGGAGCUUUCUUUUCCUCAAUGUCCACAUUCCAGUUUUUCCAUUAGACUUUACAUAAUGUAUGAACUCAUUGUCAAUAUCCAUUGUUGCCUCACUACUAUAGAGCCCCACAGUGGAGGUGUUAUAAUACCCAUAAAACCUAGCGGUCAAAUUGGUUCCAAUUGUUUUUUACACCAUUCAUUUUUCCCAUAGGGGAUUUUAGAAACUUUUAAACUAAGGGCUGUCUUUCGUAUAGGUUUACACUGGCGUGACACUUUGAUAUCCAUGUAAACCUCUCGGACAAGGUGACUUUUAUCAAUAUAUUCAGCUCUAUUUACGCUAAGAUUCGAAAAAGCUAAUUUGCAUCAGAGUAGACAUCAUUCAAGACUACAAAUCCCUGCAAGAUCCUGCACGUCAUCUCUAGCUGACACCUUUGCUAACAGGUAUUGUGUCCAUUUAAAACUUGCACAAGGCAGUUCACAGAAUUGUCAAUUAAAAUAAAUGUUGC